GAUGAACGCUGGCGGCGUGCCUAAUACAUGCAAGUCGAGCGAACGGACGAGAAGCUUGCUUCUCUGAUGUUAGCGGCGGACGGGUGAGUAACACGUGGAUAACCUACCUAUAAGACUGGGAUAACUUCGGGAAACCGUAGCUAAUACCGGAUAAUAUUUUGAACCGCAUGGUUCAAAAGUGAAAGACGGUCUUGCUGUCACUUAUAGAUGGAUCCGCGCUGCAUUAGCUAGUUGGUAAGGUAACGGCUUACCAAGGCAACGAUGCAUAGCCGACCUGAGAGGGUGAUCGGCCACACUGGAACUGAGACACGGUCCAGACUCCUACGUGAGGCAGCAGUAGGGAAUCUUCCGCAAUGGGCGAAAGCCUGACGGAGCAACGCCGCGUGAGUGAUGAAGGUCUUCGGAUCGUAAAACUCUGUUAUUAGGGAAGAACAUAUGUGUAAGUAACUGUGCACAUCUUGACGGUACCUAAUCAGAAAGCCACGGCUAACUACGUG
rnacentral:rRNA from 1 species